rnacentral:lncRNA from 1 species
GUACAUGUCAUAUACCUGUGCAUACACACACACGCUUCUACUCAGUGUGUACAUGUGCAUAUACCUGUGCAUACACACACACACACGCUUCUACUCAGUGUGUGUGUACAUGUCAUAUACCUGUGCAUACACACACACACACACUUCUACUCAGUGUGUGUACAUGUCAUAUACCUGUGCAUAUGCACACACACACGCUUCUACUCAGUGUGUGUACAUGUCAUAUACCUGUGCAUACACACACACACAAUCUACUCAGUGUGUGUACAUGUCAUAUACCUGUGCAUAUGCACACACACACGCUUCUACUCAGUGUGUGUGUACAUGUCAUAUACCUGUGCAUACACACACACGCUUCUACUCAGUGUGUGUACAUGUCAUAUACCUGUGCAUACACACACACGCUUCUACUCAGUCGUCACAGGCUCCGAGGACCCGCCGAGGUGGUACACUGUGGGGGGGGGGGGUAUGUUGUCAUCGUCAUCCAGCAGAGGGUGCAAGGCAAGGAACCGCAUCCCUCGGGGUUGUCCUGCUGCACACUGCCCCCUGGUGGCUGUGGCCUUCAUUCUGCGUCUGGCAUCCAUGUCUCCCUCGUGGGAUCCAUGUCCUUAACCCACAGCUAGGGAAACCUAACCGCAGGCUCAUCCUGUCAGGGGGUGGGCCCUUCGGGAAGCCCUCAGGGCAGAUGAGGUCAAGGGAGGGCCCCACCUCCACUCCCACCCCGGCCAGCAGGCCUCACUUGAGGCGGGCACCACGACCGUGGUUCUCCGCGCGGGAGCCGAAUAACCCUCCAUUCUUCACAAAUUGCCCCGUGGCCUUCAGUCACGGUAACAAAAGCCGAGCAAGACAACGGACUCCAUGA